rnacentral:rRNA from 1 species
AUGAAUGAGGUGGACCCUUAUGCACGAAACUUCUUGUAUAAAGAGUUCCCAGAAUUCUUUCGAUGGAUUAAGGGUAAGAAAAAGUGGCAGAAAAGAAGCCAAAGGGGCCCGAGACAAGUUGGAAGGAUUGUUUAUGCACACCCUGCUGAUGGUGAGAGGUACUUCCUGAGAGUGCUUCUGAAUCAUAGAAGAGGUGCCACUUUAUAUGAGGAUUUGAGAACUGUAAAUGGAAGGCUUUGCUCGACCUUUAGGGAAGCGCGUGAGCUCAUGGGCCUAAUAGAGACUGACAAAUCUCUAGAUGACUGCUUGACCGAGUCUGCUACUUUCUAG